GAUGAACGCUGGCGGCGUGCCUAAUACAUGCAAGUCGAGCGAACGGACGAGAAGCUUGCUUCUCUGAUGUUAGCGGCGGACGGGUGAGUAACACGUGGAUAACCUACCUAUAAGACUGGGAUAACUUCGGGAAACCGGAGCUAAUACCGGAUAAUAUUUUGAACCGCAUGGUUCAAAAGUGAAAGACGGUCUUGCUGUCACUUAUAGAUGGAUCCGCGCUGCAUUAGCUAGUUGGUAAGGUAACGGCUUACCAAGGCAACGAUGCAUAGCCGACCUGAGAGGGUGAUCGGCCACACUGGAGCUGAGACACGGUCCAGACUCCUACGGGAGGCAGCAGUAGGGAAUCUUCCGCAAUGGGCGAAAGCCUGACGGAGCAACGCCGCGUGAGUGAUGAAGGUCUUCGGAUCGUAAAACUCUGUUAUUAGGGAAGAACAUAUGUGUAAGUAACUGUGCACAUCUUGACGGUACCUAAUCAGAAAGCCACGGCUGACUACGUG
rnacentral:rRNA from 1 species